AUUGAACGCUGGAGGCAGGCUUAACACAUGCAAGUCGAGCGAGAGGCGGACGGGUGAGUAAUGUCUGGGAAACUGCCUGAUGGAGGGGGAUAACUACUGGAAACGGUAGCUAAUACCGCAUACCAUCAGAUGUGCCCAGAUGGGAUUAGCUAGUAGCUGGGGUAAUGGCUCACCUAGGCGACGAUCCCUAGAUGGUCUGAGAGGAUGACCAGACACACGGGAGCUGAGACACGGUCCAGAAUCCUACGGGAGGCAGCAGUGGGGAAUAUGGCACAAUGGGCGCAAGCCUGAUGCAGCCAGGCCGCGUGUGUGAAGAAGGCCUUCGGGUUGGAAAGCACUUUCAGCGAGGAGGCGGUACUCGCAGAAGAAGCACCGGCUAACUCCGUGCCAGCAGCCGCGGUAAUUC
rnacentral:rRNA from 1 species